ACACAUCAGAUAGGAAUGAUGAUUUGCGUGCAUGUGUGCGUGUGUGUUCCUGCUCUCAGACUUUUAAUUUUUCAGAAAAGGAUUCCUUUUCCUACAUAAAAAUGGAGAAUGCUAGCAAAAGCAGAUUUUCUGUGUUCCAAACACUCAACAGUCUCUCCAGUGGACCUCUGGGCAUUUUUCAAUGCUGGGAGAAGACCUUUGGUGGGCCAGGCAUUUAAAGAUGUAAGGCCUUCUCAGCAUUCUUCGUGAUGCUGGCUCUGCUGAGUGGAAAAGAGUAGUUGAACAGCUACGGAAGAACCUGAUAGUAAAGCAAGAACAACCGGACAAGUUCCAAAUACAGCCAUUGCCACAAUCUGAAAACAAACUACAAACAGCACAGCAGCAACCACUACAGCAACUACAACAACAGCAGCAGUACCACCACCACCACGCCCAGCAGUCAGCUGCAGCCUCUCCCAACCUGACUGCUUCACAGAAGACUGUAACUACAGCUUCUAUGAUUACCACAAAGACACUACCUCUCGUCUUGAAAGCAGCAACUGCGACCAUGCCUGCCUCUGUGGUG
rnacentral:lncRNA from 1 species